UUUAGGUUGCACACAACAGCCUCAUUUUAGAAAUGAAUCAUCCAACAGCAGGAAAAGUGUCAGUUACGGGUCCUGCGGUGAGAUUCAAUGAAUUCAACGUAUCCAGCCCCAGGCCUCCCCCACUUCUGGGACAGCACACUGUUGAAGUUUUGAAAAAUGUUUUGGGAUAUGACGACCAUUAUAUAAAUGAUCUGAUCAAAGCUAGAACAGUAACUCAGAAUAAGGUCAACUAACACUACAGCCCAGAAGAACCACGGCUAACUCUACUCACUAUCUGUCAAUCUUUACAAUUUUUUAUAAAUGUGUAAUCUGAAACAAUUUAAUUUCUUUGGGCAUUUGGAUACUGAAAGUACAAAGUAUUAGAAAGCAUUUUUGAUAUUACAUUUAUGUCACUCCUUAUAUACUCUGCUGCAUUAAAACUAAAAGAUAUUAAAGGGAUAUGAAAUCCCAAAAAAAUAUUUUGUAAUUCAGACAGAACACACCAUUUAAAAAGAAAUACUUUAAUUUAAUUCUUUUAUCAUAUUAGCUUUGUCCCCAUGAUAUUUUGAAGAGAUACCUAGGUAGACAUCUGGAGCGCUACAUGACAGGAAAUAGCGCUGCCAUAUAUUGCUCUUGCAAAUGGAUAACAUUCUUGCAAAACUGCUACCAUAUAAUGUUUUAGAAAUGGUCAGCUCCUAAGCAUACAUCCCUGCUUUUCAACAAAUGAUACCAAGAGAACUUAGAAAAAUUUAUAAUAGAAGUAAAUCAGAAAGUUUUUAAAAUCGCAUACUCAUGAAUCAUGAAAUUAAACAUUUUGGUUUUCAUAUCCCUUUAAACAGUGCUCCUUUGGUAAAAACAAAUAUGUUAAAUGAAAGUAAACAUAAGAAGAAACAGUGUGGAAAAAAACAGCAAACAGCUUACUUGUGCAGUUAGAAAUUCUCAGUGUAGUCCCGCCCUCAGUGUGAUAUGGGAGCUGACAUGUUUGAAACUUCGGUUUCCUGACUGAUCUGGGCAUGAGCAAGUCUGACUCCCUGUUAUCUAGUCUAUUUACUUUAUAGUAAACAAGUUUAGAAGUUUUAUGACAUCAGGCUAAGAUAAACCUUCCUGCAGAGGCCUCUUCCUCCUUGUAGGGCUGUGAUAGGAAGUAAUGGACACUGCACAAAUGUAGUGUAAAAAAUAAAUAAAAAGUAAAAUCCAUUUAAAUAGAUGAGUAAUACAUAUUGUAAUUAUUUCUAUUAGGUAUUAACAACUGUUUAGUGCUUUUUUGUAUUGCGGCAAUGAAACAGACAGUUUAACAUCCCAUUAAAGAGACUUACAAAUUCCUAUACAACAAAUGAGACACUUAAAGGGACAGUAAACACCUUUGCCUAGAUUCCGAGUGGUGUGCUAACUGUAGCCCAAGUGCAAUAUCAUUUUUUUAGGCUCCCUAAAGCGUCUUCAGCCUCUCUAGCCUAGACUAGACUAUCCCUUUAAUGUGUCCCUUUCAAAUUUGAAUAUUGUUCUGUUUGAAUGAUUUCAGAGUUGACACAUAGUAUACCUUAUUUUAAAAUGAACUGUUUUUCUAGAAUGACGCAAGUUAAUUGAUUGCCAAAAGUGUUAUUUCUUGAAUUCACUGAAUAAUUUGGAAUAUUGAAGGGAAAGUCAGAUUGUUCUUCUUUGUCUGCGUAUACCAUGUAUCAAUAUUUCAAUUAUGAGAUUAAAUUAAUAAACUAAAUGUUUCAUUUUGUGACUAAUUCUAAACAAUGAAUUUUAUUUCUGAGUCAACAUGUUCUUCUUAAUCUGUAAAUUAAACUAUAACCUUGACAAUAAAUUGGCCAGUGCAACACCAGGAUCCAUUAUCCUGUUUUGUUAUGUAAAUAUUUGCUUUACAUUAUGUUGCUAUAGCAAACCGUGAUUGUGCUGUAGAAAUAAAGCACCAUUUUAGCAUUUUAUUGACUGUUAGAGCAGAAUACAAGUCCAGAGUUAAUGACAUUAAGCUUGAAUAAGCCUUUUUUUUUGCACCAGUAGUUAAAAGUAUGGUCUGUAUGGCACCAGUUAGUUACUGUCCAGUUUCUAAAUAAAUAGGAAACAAAAUAAA